GAUGAACGCUAGCGGCAGGCUUAAUACAUGCAAGUCGAGGGGCAGCAUGGUGUAGCAAUACACUGAUGGCGACCGGCAAACGGGUGCGGAACACGUACAGAACCUUCCUUCGAGCGGGGAAUAGCCCAGAGAAAUUUGGAUUAAUACCCCAUAGUAUAUUGGAGUGGCAUCACUUUGAUAUUAAAGAUUUAUCACUUGAAGAUGGCUGUGCGGCUGAUUAGGUAGUUGGCGGGGUAACGGCCCACCAAGCCUACGAUCAGUAACUGGGGUGAGAGCACGACCAGUCACACGGGAGCUGAGGCACGGACCCGACUCCUACGGGAGGCAGCAGUAAGGAAUGUUGGUGAAUGGACGAAAGUCUGACCCAGCCAUGCCGGGUGGAAGAUGAAUGUCCUCUGGAUUGUAAACUUCUUUUAUAUGGGACUAAAAAAGGCUUUUCUAAGUCGUCUGACGGUACCAUAUGAAUAAGCACCGGCUAACUCCGUGCCAGCCGCCGCCGUAACAC
rnacentral:rRNA from 1 species